UGCCAGCCGCCGCGGUAAGACGAACCGUACAAACGUUAUUCGGAAUCACUGGGCUUAAAGGGUGCGUAGGCGGCCAGGUAAGUUGGGUGUGAAAUCCCUCGGCUCAACCGAGGAACUGCGCCCAAAACUACUUGGCUUGAGGGAGAUAGAGGUGAGCGGAACUUAGGGUGGAGCGGUGAAAUGCGUUGAUAUCCUAAGGAACACCGGUGGCGAAAGCGGCUCACUGGAUCUCUUCUGACGCUGAGGCACGGAAGCUAGGGUAGCGAACGGGAUUAGAUA
rnacentral:rRNA from 1 species